GGAACUUUUCGGACGGGCGGGCCCGGG
rnacentral:sRNA from 1 species